rnacentral:rRNA from 1 species
UACGUAGGAGGCGAGCGUUGUCCGGAAUUACUGGGCGUAAAGAGCUCGUAGGUGGUUUGUCGCGUUGUUCGUGAAAUCUCACGGCUUAACUGUGAGCGUGCGGGCGAUACGGGCAGACUGGAGUACUGCAGGGGGAGACUGGAAUUCCUGGUGUAGCGGUGGAAUGCGCAGAUAUCAGGAGGAACACCGGUGGCGAAGGCGGGUCUCUGGGCAGUAACUGACGCUGAGGAGCGAAAGCGUGGGGAGCGAACAGG